GGGCCGUUAGCUCAGUUGGCAGAGCAGCGGACUUUUAAUCCGUUGGUCGCUGGUUCGAAUCCAGCACGGCCCACCA
rnacentral:tRNA from 1 species